GACGAACGCUGGCGGCGUGCUUAACACAUGCAAGUCGAACGGUGAAGCGCCUUCCUUGUUGGUCGGUCUGUAUGGGUGGCGAACGGAUGAGUAACACGUUAAUCACCUUCCCCCUCCUUCUUGACAACCGCAUACAGGUGUGGCUAAUACGGGAUAUUCUGGGCCUGUUGCAUGAUGGGUCUGGGACAGUUUUUGUUUCGGUUGUGGAUGGGCUCGCGGCCUAUCAGCUUGUUGGUGGGGUGAUGGCCUACCAAGGCGGUGACGGGUAGCCGGCCUGAGAGGGUGGGGGGACACAGUGGGACUGAGACACGGCCGAGACUCAGAGGGGACGCAGCAGGGGGGAAUACUGCACAAUGCGAGCAAGCCUGAUGGAGCGACGCCGCGUGAGGGAUGGAGCCCUGCGGGGUGUAAAUCUCUUUCGAGAGUGAAGCAGGCCUGCCUCGUUUGUGGGUGGGUUGACGGUAGCUGGAUAAGAAGCGCAGGCUAACUACGUG
rnacentral:rRNA from 1 species